rnacentral:sRNA from 1 species
AACCGUGCGGGUGACCCAAGGAGUUUUGACGGUGAUUUUGCCAUUCCGGCUAGUCUCACCACCCACCACCACCCUUAAUCAACUCCCCUUGGACCCAGGAACAAGACCCAAUCAGUUGUAGGGGCGUUGGAACACCAAGGAAGCCGAAUUGAAGAACACCCACCUUAGGGUUUCGUUAGGUGCGAGCAAAUUUUAAGCCCUUCCUGGCCAAAUUGGACUCGACCAUAGUCGAAUUUUCCGAUAUAUGACAUUCGAUUUAUGAAAAUGCUGUUGAUUGCGGUGAUAGAACGUGAUGCCUUGACUAUUGUGCUAGAGUACAUUGGCACGGACUCCAGACAUUGAUCGUGUAGGUGACAGGUUUGAGUAGACUCCGAGAAGUUUGUAGGUGGGGGUAGCAGUGCAGUUAUCAGAGACUUUGAGCGUUAGGUUACCCUUGUUUCACUCUUGUACUUUAUCUUUUGGGACUUUCUUUUGAGCACCUCAUACUUGUUCUUAGUAAAGAAAAGAUUAUGCUUCUUUUUGGGAUGUACAUAUUUGUAAAUAUUUUGUGGAGAACUUAGCCACCUUCACAUUAUUUUGGGUUAUCAGUUAAAGUAUUUCAUUCCAUAACUUAUACCGUAUUCAACGAACAUUAUUUUCCUUGUUACGUGUCGAUUUUCGACGUAUGUUGGGAUCGGGACGUGACAAGUAAUCCAGA